GUCCUAGCCCUAAACGAUCAGGACUUGGGGUGCAUCCCGACGGGAUGCGUCCCGUAGCUAACGCGUUAAGUCCUGCGCCUGGGGAGUACGGUCGCAAGACUGAAACUCAAAGGAAUUGACGGGGGCCCGCACAAGCGGUGGAACAUGUGGUUCAAUUCGACGCAACGCGAAGAACCUUACCUGGGCUUGAACCGCUACUGACCAGUGGUGGAAACAUCGCCUUCUCGCAAGAGACAGUAGUAGAGGUGCUGCAUGGCUGUCGU
rnacentral:rRNA from 1 species